rnacentral:rRNA from 1 species
UGUAAGCGUAUACCAAAGUUGUUGCAGUUAAAACGCUCGUAGUCGGAAUUUGGCAGUUCCGGAUGUGUGCACGUCGUGUGCGCACUUCGCGGGGAUUGCUUUUGUGGUCUUGCGUAGGAUGAGGCACUUUUAUUAGUGAACGUCCUCACGCAACCACUUUUUACUGUGAGAAAAUCAGAGUGCUCAAAGCAGGCAUUUGCCGUGAAUGUAUUAGCAUGGAAUAAUAGAAUAGGACUUGGUUCUAUUUUGUUGGUUUGUUGGGACUGAGUAAUGAUUAAGAGGGACAGUUGGGGGCAUUUGUAUUUCGGUGCUAGAGGUGAAAUUCUUAGAUUACCGAAAGACAAACUGCUGCGAAAUCGUCUGCCAAGGAUGUUUUCAUUGA